AUUGAACGCUGGCGGCAUGCCUUACACAUGCAAGUCGAACGGCAGCACGGGUGCUUGCACCUGGUGGCGAGUGGCGAACGGGUGAGUAAUACAUCGGAACGUACCUUAUCGUGGGGGAUAACGCAGCGAAAGCUGUGCUAAUACCGCAUACGCCCUGAGGGGGAAAGCGGGGGAUCGCAAGACCUCGCGCGAUUAGAGCGGCCGAUGCCUGAUUAGCUUGUUGGUGGGGUAAAAGCCCACCAAGGCGACGAUCAGUAGCUGGUCUGAGAGGACGAUCGGCAACACUGGGACUGAGACACGGCCCAGACUCCUACGGGAGGCAGCAGUGGUGAAUUUUGGACAAUGGGGGCAACCCUGAUCCAGCAAUGCCGCGUGAGUGAAGAAGGCCUUCGGGUUGUAAAGCUCUUUUGUCAGGGAAGAAACACCGGCUCUAACACAGUCUGGGAAUGGCGGUACCUGAAGAAUAAGCACCGGCUAACUACGUGCCAGCAGCCGCCGUAA
rnacentral:rRNA from 1 species